CCACUCAUAGAUGUAGCAUACUUUAGCAAAAGUGUGGUGGGGCUUACGAAGAUGGUGUUUGUGAGGCAGAAAACAGUAACUUCAGCAUGAACCUUAGGCACUCAUGUUUCAAAAUGCCUUUGACCAUCCCCAACAAGUGUGUUUCUCCUGGUUCCUUGCUCCACUUAGUUGAGGUUUAUUUGUUCACAUUCUUCUCAUUUGCCUGCAGGCCUAGGAACUCCCCUGCUUGGAUCACCCCUUCAGAUUCUUUUCCCUCUUUUAGAUAGAGGCAUUCGGUACUCCUCAACUUCUGUUCCUGAUGGCUCCUCCCGGGAAAUUUCACCUAAACUCAACCUCAUGAGCUACAGAAGAAAUGGUCCUUUAAUUUAGUGCCUUCCAAUUUAGAAAGUGAGAGUGGCUGUACAUCCAAAGUGGAGGAAAUGUCUCUCUUCCUAUGGAUGCCCAGCCUCUGCCCUUGUCUUCUGGACCCCACCUCCUUUCUACCACACAAGUUGGCAUGAUGACAACGUAUUUGGCCCUGGCAAUAGAUUAUGGCUGGUACAAACCAGUUCUCAGGAUAUCUUACAACUAGAGGCAGCCUUAAGACCCUGUUUUGUCGAGAAUACCUACUUGGAAGUCUAGUCAAAAGGAUUCUUGGUUGAAAAUAGAAGAAAUAGACUUUGGAUAAAUUAAGUGUAAAGGAAAUGCGUUGGAAGUGUGAUAACUCACAGCAUCAGAUCAAACAUCAAACUGCCAAAGACAGAAAAUUAUUUACUGAUGUACAUUAUUUGACAAACUAUUCAAAGGAAUGACCCCACUAUUUAUGCAGUUUUAAGCAGAGAAGGAGAGUCUCCAGGAACUAUACGAAUUAAUCAACUUGAGCAAUCAGCCUGUUUUACAGCCUCCUGCCUUGGAGACUACUUUUUCCAAAACUCUAUGUGGGAUGUGGUCACCUAGUUGGUUGGAACCAGCUCCUGACAGACCCCAGCAACUGACAGAUGAACCUGAGUGAACUUUCCUCAUUAUCAUGCUAAAGUCUCCAUCCCGAAAGGAACUAUAGCUUCAUUACCAGAACAUGCAACCUUUGUGCUGGCAUAAAGGCUCACUGCGUCUAAAGCAACUGGGACCCGUCCCGUACAUGUGAUGAUGCACACUCUCCUCUCUCCAUAGCGCCAUAAACUCUCUCAGGGAGACACUGCUUUGAGGAAUGCUUCCUUACUUGUGCUAAGUAAUAAAACUCCUAUUGAUUAAAAUUUACAUUCUUGUGGAUUCGUUUGUUACUGGACAAGUGAGUGAAUUCAUUUUUUUUCAGGUUAGUCAUCAAAAUAAACUUUGUGGAUAUGAUUGUACAUUACUUAUUCUUUUAUUCUCAUACCUCCAUUUAUAUUCAUGUUCUGUUAAUUCUACAUUCCUAAAGAAUUAAACUUUCUCUUCCAAAAGAUCUAUUAUGGCCUUUAUACAAUGUCUUUAUAAUUUUCUAUGAGAACUAUUGAAGUAGCUGCCUAAUUAAUAUCUCCGUCUUAGGUUUGUAACCUUUUUGUUCAUUUUCUAGUCUUCUAUCAAAGUAAUCUUUCUCAAAUAUAAAUCUGGUCAUAUUUGUUCCAUGCUUACAUCUCUUUGAUUACUUCCCAUUAUCUACUAAAAAAUGUUCAAAUGUCUGGCUCGAGAAACAUGAUCUUCUUGAUGAUUUUGCUGGCUUUUUCAUCUUCAUUUUCUACUUGUGACCCCUUGAAUCCAACAAACCAGUUAUAAUAAAGCAUGCUUUUCUUCAUCAUUUGCUACCUUUUCAUGGAAUAUCUUAUCCUUUGCCCUCCAUUUCCCUUAUAUCUUCUCUUUGUAGAUCAAGUUCAAGCAAUAUGUUCUCUGUGAAGUUUUUCCUGACUAGUCCUAAUGCAACUACCUCUCAAAGUUAUGUUAAUAGCAGACCUUCCCUUUACAUAACUCCAUGCUAUACAGACCUCUCUUAUAUUACCUACAGUAUAUUUCCAUGUUUUUUUAUCUUGCUAGCCUGUAAGACCUCUAAGGCUAUUACUCAUUUUUGUAAUAUCAAAAGUACAAGUUAUAUAUGGUAUGUAAUGAGUGAUUAAAACAUUUGUUGAACGAUUUUACAUGUGUGUCUAAAAUGCAGCGUUGGUUCC
rnacentral:lncRNA from 1 species